rnacentral:rRNA from 1 species
GACGAACGCUGGCGGCGUGCCUAAUACAUGCAAGUAGAACGCUGAAGAGAGGACCUUGCUCUUCUUGGAUGAGUUGCGAACGGGUGAGUAACGCGUAGGUAACCUGCCUUGUAGCGGGGGAUAACUAUUGGAAACGAUAGCUAAUACCGCAUAACAAUGGAUGACACAUGUCAUUUAUUUGAAAGGGGCAAUUGCUCCACUACAAGAUGGACCUGCGUUGUAUUAGCUAGUAGGUGAGGUAAUGGCUCACCUAGGCGACGAUACAUAGCCGACCUGAGAGGGUGAUCGGCCACACUGGGACUGAGACACGGCCCAGACUCCUACGGGAGGCAGCAGUAGGGAAUCUUCGGCAAUGGGGGCAACCCUGACCGAGCAACGCCGCGUGAGUGAAGAAGGUUUUCGGAUCGUAAAGCUCUGUUGUAAGUCAAGAACGGGUGUGAGAGUGGAAAGUUCACACUGUGACGGUAGCUUACCAGAAAGGGACGGCUAACUACGUG